UGAAAGAAGGCAUUAUAAUGCACGAACUUUUGCAUGCUCUAGGCUUCUACCACGAGCAAAACCGGCCAGAUCGCGAUGAGUUUGUGCAACUGUUCCCUGAGAACAUACAACCGGAAAUAUACGACACAAACUAUCGCAUCUUGCGUAGUAUGCCCACACAUGGCAUUCCGUACGACUACGAAUCCAUCCUGCAUUAAGGAGCCUGGGACUUCGCCAUCAAACGCGAUAAGCCAGCUAUAAUUCCCAAGAUCCGCACCUGUGUGAGAAUGGGUCAGCGCAAAUGGAUGAGUCCACUGGAUGUCGUGAGACUACAAAAAGCCUAUGGAUGUCUCGAUGAUAAUUUUGAAAAAAUUACGCCAAGUAUUGCAGUUGCGUCCACAGCUGAGACAACAGCUCCACCCGCUCUAAAUGCGAGCCUAUCGAGCCAGAACCUUGCUGCGUUUUUUGCUGAACAGAGAACAUGUAGAACCCACAUGGCGUGUUCGGACCAUUUAAAAUGCGGCUGUUUCCUUGGCUGGUGCUGGGCGUACGCUUACUGGGAACUGAUGAAAAUCGGCGAUCCGUGGUGUUGGACGCAGCCGGUGGGUGUUCCAGGCGGGCAAAAUCCUUUGCAUCGUGCGCCGCUGAUAACGAUUGCAACAUCACGAUGACAUGUGGCGACAACAUCACAUAUGCCGGCAGCGGUCCACCAGAAGUGCGUCCAGCCUUCGCAGACGUCACAGCUGGGCCAAUGUCGCAAUGCAAAACAAAUCUCCAAUACUGCGGGCAGCUUUUAUGUUUUUUAGGCUAUAGUGUCGGAGAGGGUGAAUAUUUGUCAAAUAUGCUGUUUAAGUGCAAAGAUGGCCGUAAUGUGGAGCCGAUUUCAAGCUGCAAACAAUGCCGUGACGGAGGUGCGGAUAAGAACGACCACUGCGAGCCCUGAGAUAAUGCAAGUAAAUCAUCGUUUGCACUUUUUGGAUAAGUGUUCAGCGUUAAAUCUUUGUUAUCUCUCUAUGUUCGCUGCUGCGUUCGUUUCAGUGGAGCCAAAAUCCACGCAUUCAGUCUCAAAGCCAAAUGUUUGGGCCGCAACUAGGCUUUCGAAGGUUGUGGGCCCGAUUUUUUUUAGUGGGACGAUGUCGAAGAUUUUCUUGUAUUGCUGAACGCCGCAUGGUGACCCGUGGCACAAAGCGUUUAGCGUGCGCUACAUAAAUAUUAUUGGUUUCAUUAUGGGCUUUUGCGUUUAAAUAUGCCUUUUAUCAUCUACCCUGCGUUUGUUAUGUUGAUUAUCAAGGUAAAGAUCUAUA